CUUCGUGUAAUUACACAGCCUAAUUUCGUGGACCUGACUCAGAACGAGGGUGAAAGUGAUGACCGCGCUGGUCCUAGCAACGCUACCAAUAGCAGAAACCCAUCACAUAGCCCCUUGAGAAAGAAAAGGACGGUUGUAUCAGUCCAACCACCACACAGAGAGCAAAUUCACAUACAGUUAGCUCGGCAGAGUCUGUCAGAUCCGCUGACGAUGCUGUGCCCGAGAUAGAUCAAGACGCAGUAUCCAAUGGUGUGGACAAUGCCGCUAACUGGACUGAUACUCAAAUAAAUGACUGGCAAAACGCUGAUUGGUCGAGUGUUCGCAGCGACGAUUCGGCACAGACGGGUAGGCAGACUCCGUACGCUUCCGACGACGUGUCCGGGGAGGAGCCAGAAUUAAGGUCCGAGUUACAACGUAAUGAUGGUCGGAAUGAUUCUGUAAAUGAAAGAAUUGCAUCUUUGUUCGAAGAGUUGGUUGAAAGGCAGGACUCUAUGUACAAUAAGAUUCUUAAUAGGCAGGAGGCUUUCUUCGCUGAAAUAAAUAGCAACGUGGACGCCA